rnacentral:rRNA from 1 species
GAUGAACGCUGGCGGCGUGCCUAAUACAUGCAAGUCGAGCGAACAGACGAGGAACUUGCUCCUCUGACGUUAGCGGCGGACGGGUGAGUAACACGUGGAUAACCUACCUAUAAGACUGGGAUAACUUCGGGAAACCGGAGCUAAUACCGGAUAAUAUAUUGAACCGCAUGGUUCAAUAGUGAAAGACGGUUUUGCUGUCACUUAUAGAUGGAUCCGCGCCGCAUUAGCUAGUUGGUAAGGUAACGGCUUACCAAGGCAACGAUGCGUAGCCGACCUGAGAGGGUGAUCGGCCACACUGGAACUGAGACACGGUCCAGACUCUUACGGGAGGCAGCAGUAGGGAAUCUUCCGCAAUGGGCGAAAGCCUGACGGAGCAACGCCGCGUGAGUGAUGAAGGUCUUCGGAUCGUAAAACUCUGUUAUUAGGGAAGAACAAAUGUGUAAGUAACUAUGCACGUCUUGACGGUACCUAAUCAGAAAGCCACGGCUAACUACGUG